rnacentral:tRNA from 1 species
UGUAUUUAGGUGUUUUGAUGCACAUAAAAUUUUGAUUUUUAAGGGGAUAGUUUGAGUCUAUUAAGUGCAA